UUUGGAUCAAAAUUUAGUUGGUUCAAAUUUGACUUCAAAUUGGUUUGAAAUCAAGCUUAAACCAAGAGUCCAAGUUUGUGGGACUCUUCAUUGCCACCGACCAGCCUUCUUUCUCAUGUGCAAAUGAAUUUUUGUGUGAUGUUUUUUGGUGCUAAUCUGAAUUACGUCACCCUCCUUUCUGUGUUCCUUAUGUGUGAAUUAAAUCUAAUUUAAAAUAAAAUUUAAAUUUGAUUUGAAUUUGUGAUAAGAUCAAAGGUUGUUUGAAGCUGAAUCAGAUUAUCCAAACUCUAUA
rnacentral:lncRNA from 1 species